CACGUAGGGCGCAAGCGUUGUCCGGAAUUAUUGGGCGUAAAGAGCUCGUAGGCGGUCUGUCGCGUCGAUCGUGAAAACUUGGGGCUCAACCCCAAGCUUGCGGUCGAUACGGGCAGGCUAGAGUUCGGUAGGGGAGACUGGAAUUCCUGGUGUAGCGGUGAAAUGCGCAGAUAUCAGGAGGAACACCGGUGGCGAAGGCGGGUCUCUGGGCCGAUACUGACGCUGAGGAGCGAAAGCGUGGGGAGCGAACAGG
rnacentral:rRNA from 1 species